AAAUCCACAGAUACUAACAGAGAAGACAGAGACUGCCAGGCGAGUCAGCGAGAGCCUGAGUGAGAAGGUGGAAGCUGAGUGCCUGGAGGAGUGCCUGAGGUUCCUGGAGAGCUAUGAAGAUGAAGUAAGAAGCUUUCUCCAGCUUGAUGGCUGCCCACAGAUCUGCAGCAGCCUACGAAUCCUGGAGAAUUGCUGCCUUCUCAGAACUGUCUGGCAUAAGCUAACAUACAUUUGCAGUGUCAGCACUGACCAGAAUGUUAAGGUAAAUGGAUUUCUACACAGGAUGGAAGAUGACAUUAUGGAGCAUUUUCUGCAGACUAUCACUACUAAAGUCAAGGGAACACUGAAGGACCACUUCAAAAAGUGUGACAGUGGUUUUGACCACAUCCUUGAAUCCUUAAAGCAAAACUUUUUGACCUUUGGGAAGAAAAAAACUGAUAUAUAUGAGGCCCUUGUCAAGGCUGCCAAUGCCAUCAUUAUUACAGAAUACAUGCAGGCCCUCCUGACCACUCCCAGGAAACCAUCUGUUAUGCAGAGGAGGAGGAUUGUCAACAAGAUGGAAGAAGAUCAUAGGAUGAUGCAAGCCAUCUUUAAAGAGUGCUUAGGUCCUGCAGCUGGUUCUCUCAAGGAUCCCAUAAAAGCAAUUUUAGAGCUUGUUCAAACUUCUGAUCCUGAGGGGAUGAAAAUAGCACUUCUGCCCAUUCUAAAAGAAUUUCCAGACCUCAGGAAGGAACAUCUGAGUGCAGUGCUGGACAUGAAAGAUUCACUCAGCUGGGAAGACAGAGCUGCUCUCUUGAAGGCAUUUCAUGAUAAUUGCAGGGAAUUGGAAACAGAAGCAAACAUGCUCUUUGCAGAUAUAGAAGUGAAACCUAGCAAAUGUGGACUCUGUGGCUGCCUCUGCUGUUAGCAAAGGCCUGCUGGGAGAAACAUGAGGACUUGCUCUGUUGUGCCAGCAUCUGCAACCACAGCUCCUUGAAAGCUUCAUAUGCAGCUGGAUGCAUGGAGAAGCCUGUCAGCCAUGGAAGACAAAAUUCCUGCACUUUUGCAGGAAAACCAUGAGGCUCAAAUCCUAAUCUUAUAUGUAAAGUCCAGGAGGAAGAUAAAUAGGAUAUGGUCAAAAGACAUUUCUUCAAAAUUUCCUAGAGACUGCCAUUCAGCUGAGUCCUGGUGGUUAUUCCUGGGAUGGGGCAAGUGUGGAGGAGCAUUUCUCCUCACUGAAUUCCUCUGUUUCCGUCCCUUGUUCCAUGAAAUCUCUAAUGAAUCCAGGGACUGCUGCACCACAUGGUGUCCCAGCAUUGCAACCUCCCAAGGGAUU
rnacentral:lncRNA from 1 species